rnacentral:rRNA from 1 species
GGACUACUGGGGUAUCUAAUCCUGUUUGCUCCCCACGCUGUCGCGCCUCAGCGUCAGUUGUGGCCCAGCCAACCGCCUUCGCCACCGGUGUUCUUCCGGAUCUCUACGCAUUCCACCGCUACACCCGGAAUUCCAUUGGCCUCUACCACACUCGAGCACGAGAGUAUCGCUGGCCGACCCGAAGUUGAGCCUCGGGCUUUCACCAGCGACUGCUCGCGCCGCCUACGCGCCCUUUACGCCCAGUGAUUCCGGACAACGCUCGCACCCUCCGUAUUACCGCGGCUGCUGGCAC